ensembl:snoRNA SNORA73 Small nucleolar RNA SNORA73 family
CCAACGUGGAUACCCCGGGAGGUCACUCUCCCCGGGCUCUGUCCAGGUGGCGUAGGGGACCGUGCUGCCCCGUGAUGUACAGUCCCUUUCCACAACGUUGGAGAGAAAGCCAGGCCUUGAGUCUGCGCCUGCAUAUUCUCAGAGUCCUGUGGACGAUGACUGAGGAGACAAACCAUGCAGGAAACAUCU